rnacentral:rRNA from 1 species
UACGGAGGGUGCAAGCGUUAUCCGGAUUCACUGGGUUUAAAGGGUGCGUAGGCGGGUAUUUAAGUCAGUGGUGAAAGCUCCGGGCUUAACUUGGAAAUUGCCAUUGAUACUGUAUAUCUUGAAUAUCGUAGAGGUUAGCGGAAUGUUGCAUGUAGCGGUGAAAUGCUUAGAUAUGUUACAGAACACCAAUUGCGAAGGCAGCUAACUAUGCGAUGAUUGACGCUGAGGCACGAAAGCGUGGGGAGCAAACAGG